CCGCCGCGUUCCCCUCGAUUUGCACCGUCACUCGGGCUGUUGGGAAGGCAGAGGGGAGGCGCUCUGCGUGCCUCCGUGUACCUGGAUCUGAGUGCAGAAGUGUGUGUGAAUGCCUGUGCCUCUGUCAUCUGAAUCCUGCUUCCUGCUUGUUGGAAUAAAGGACCUGUUUCCAACUACAGAAGCUGAAGUGGUCGCAUCCUCCUCCCUGUCCCUGGCAGCUGAGGCUCCUCAAGAGUCCUGAGCUUUAGAUGCUGACCUCUGACCUCAUAGGCAAGUGAAGAGAGAGAUGCUAGAAGUUCAGAGUUCCUCCCAUUCCUGGAGAAAAGGGAAGCCCGGGUGAGGUACGUGAUUAGAAUACCAAGGCCCUAUGGAGAAUGGGACCCCCUGUCUUCUAGCACCAGACCAAGGCCGCACCCACCCCACCCCACCCCACCACCAGCCA
rnacentral:lncRNA from 1 species